rnacentral:pre_miRNA from 1 species
CUUGCAAUCUCCUGGAAAUUUUGUUAAAAUGUAGAUUUUGAUUCCGCAGGUGUGGGAUGAGGCCUGAGAAUCUACAUUUCUAACAAGUUCUCAGGUGAUGCCAGU